rnacentral:rRNA from 1 species
GGUACGUCGGGGAGAGCGGCGGCGGUGAGGAAGAGGGUGCGAGAGUUGAUGGGAGUUACGGGGGGUGAAGCGGGUGUAGGGGGUCAGGUAAGUUGGAUGUGAGAGCCCGGGGCUCGACGCCGGAAGGGCAUUCAAAGCGGCUUGGCUUGAGGAUCGGAGAGGUUGGUGGAAUUCUCGGUGGAGAGGUGAAAUUCGUAGAUAUCGAGAGGAACACCGGUGGCGAAGGCGGCCAACUGGACGAAUACUGACGCUGAGACACGAAAGCGUGGGGAGCAAACAGGAUUAGAUACCCGUGUAGUC